rnacentral:piRNA from 1 species
UCUCAGAGAUACAUUGGAAGCUCCAGAGG